GUUUGUGCAAACACCAGUCUCAGUACAUUUGGACAAUUUUCGCAUUGGAUAUCCUUCUAUUAUGAAACAAAACAAUAUAUUUGAUUGUGGAGUUUUUGUCAUGAAGUUUAUGGAACCUUGGAGACCUAAGGCUCUUCUUCGCUCCGAAUUUUCACAAGAUGAUAUACCCAACAUCAGAAUUCAACUUGUGAAUGAUCUAGUUUUCAGUGAGCACAACAUCAUCGACACUAGCGUUGUAAGGGACUUCUAUGCAGAGGGAGAUUAUCUUCGAGUUGGACAGGGGGUGUAAAAGCUCACUGUGUCAUUGUAUGAAAUGGCAGCAAUACAACUUAGAGAGUUAAGAAUUAGUGUAAAAAUGUAGCACAUACGCAGCACAUUUGUUUGGGAAGUAGCUCAUAUAUGUUCCUUAG